rnacentral:rRNA from 1 species
UACAGGGGGGGCAAGCGUUGUUCGGAAUUACUGGGCGUAAAGGGCUCGUAGGCGGCCAACUAAGUCACACGUGAAAUCCCCAGGCUUAACCUGGGAACUGCGUGUGAUACUGGAUGGCUUGAAUCCGGGAGAGGGAUGCGGAAUUCCAGGUGUAGCGGUGAAAUGCGUAGAUAUCGGGAGGAACACCUGUGGCGAAAGCGGCGCACUGGACCACAACUGACGCUGAGGCGCGAAAGCUAGGGGAGCAAACAGG